UACAUUGUUGAGAAAGCCCAUAGGAAAGGA
rnacentral:piRNA from 1 species